rnacentral:rRNA from 1 species
UUUAAGCUAUAUAUUAAAGAGAUUUAUUUAUAUAAAUAGGUUUGCUAGCUGAUUGUAUAUAUACGCAGGCCAAUGCUUCUAAUUUCAUAGCAAGCUCUAAAAAAAAAUUCUUUUUUUUUAUUGCUAUGAAAUAGGCAACCAGUAAUAUAAGCAAGUAUGUGCUAUUUAUAGCGCUAGCCUAGAAACCUAUAAUUAUAUUAACUCUAAGAGAAAUUUAAUAAUAAACGAAGUGAAUUGAAAUAUCUUAGUAACUUUAGGAAAAGAAAUCAAAAGAGAUUCUAUGAUUAGCGUGAGCUAAAAUAGACUAGCCUAAAAAGUCAAAUGGUGGAUAAACUGUUUAAAUUAAAUGGGGAACCUUCCUCAAAGGCUAAAUAUAAUAUAUAAGCGAUAGUGGAAAGUACCGUGAGGGAACCAAAACAAAAACAGUGAUUUUAUAAGCAGUUCGGGAAAAUAAAAAAAAAAGUUAGAACGUACCUUUUGCAUAAUGGGUCACCAAGUUAACAUUAGAUGCGAGUAGGAGGGAGCUUUAUAAAAAAAAAUAUAUUUUUUUUAUUGCCCCGUGUAUACGUAGUUAAACCGAGCGUUAAAAUAACGGUAAGUAUCUAAAGUUAGACCCGAAGCCUGGUGAUUUUACCAUAAUCAGGAUUAUAAAAGUCCGAACGGAAUAUUGUAGCAUAAAUAUCCGAAGAAUUAUGGUAGGUGUAGUGAAAGACAAUACUGACCAGGAUAGCUGGUUUUCUGCGAAACCUAUAACAGUAGGCAAUUUAAGUAUAAUAUCUUAGCAGGUACAGAAUUUAAUCUCAGACAAGACAUAAGGCUUAGCUUGCUAGCAAGUAAAGCUCAUGUUUUAUUUUGUACAAAUUGGGGGAUCAUGAAGAUUUUAUCAGUGAGUAUGUAGACUCGGAAUGGCAAAGAUAUAUCUUAAAUCAUCAGACAUAGAAUGAUAAGGUUGUAUGUCAAAAGGGAAACAGCCCAGAACAAGAGUUAAGGUUCCUAAAUUAUUAGUUGAGUGAAAUUAAGAAGGUUUUUAUUAAAGUCGACAAGGAGAUAGGCUUAGAAGCAGCCAUAAUUUUAUGACCUCGUAACAGAGCGCUUGUUAAGUUUUAAAAGCAUCGAAAAUUUAUCGGAUCUAAACAAUAUACCGAAACCUUGUCCAUAUUAUUUUAUAAUUAAAGCUUAAUUAUAAUUAAAUGGGGUAGCAGAACGUUGAGCUAAAUUAAGAUUUUUAUUUUUUAAAUGAAAUUAUAAUAAUUUAACUCAAGUGAUAAUGGUGACAUGAGUAACUAAAAGAAAAAAUAAAAUUUUUCCGCCUAAAGCUUAUGGAUGUAAUUAAGUAACGGCCUCUAAGUUUAUAUUAUCUAAAGAUUUAAACGAUGAGAUAAUCUUUUGUACUAAGGACGACAUUUUAAGUGAAAAAUGUACUGGAAAAAUAGUACUAAAUUAAUGGCUAUAGCUAAUUAGGGCGCAAGCUCGCUAUAGCUAUAAAUGAAAAGUAACCGUACCUAGAAUCUGAAACAAGUAAGCUAGUAGAGAAUACGAAGGCGUAAAUGAGCUAACAAUCAUAAAGGAACUCGGCAAAUUGACUACCGUAACUUCGGGAUAAGGAGAGCUCAUUAUUCUUGAUUAAUAUCAGGUAAAGAGGAAGAAGCAUGAAAUAGUGUUGUACGACUGUUUAAUUAAAACACAGCACUUUGCUGAAAGAUUAAAAAUCUAAGUAUAGAGUGUGAUGUCUGCCCGGUGCCGGCUGGUUAACAGAUAUAAUUAAAUAUACUAAUAUUUGAUGUAGACGGAAACCCCGGUUAAAGGCGGCCUUAACGUGAGGGUCCUAAGGUAGCGAAAUGCCUUGGCCGUUAAAUGCGGUCUUGCAUGAAUGAUGUAACGAUACAACAGCUGUCUCUAUGAUUGACUCAGUGAAAUUGGAAUAGCUGUGCAGAUACAGUUUACCUCUAGUUAGACGAGAAGACCCUAUGCAGCUUUACUGUCACUAAUUAUAGAGUAUGAUAAACAAUUUUCAGAUUAUAAGGUAAUUGACGGCUAGCUUGUUCAGCAAGCUAGCUCUAUGACAAUGAGAAUCCUUUAUUUUUUUUUCAUAUGAAUGAAUUGGUUUAGGAUUAUGAGUAGGUAGCUGCUUCUGCUACUUGGCGCAAGCAUUGCUUGCGUCAGGUGUCUGAAGUAUGCAUUCCAGCUCAUGCAUAGUAAAUCAACCUAAUUCAGCUUAUUUUCCUUUCUGCCAUAAGCGCAUAAUGAUAGAUUUAACUUAAAUUUUGAUUUAUGCCAGCUGCAGAAAUAGAUAAGUACCCUUGGCUAAGGAACUAUCGCUAGGGGACAGUUUAUGUGGGGCACAGACCCUGUAAAGAGUAAACAGGAGUGUCUAAUAAUUUAUAAUUAUUUUGUUUGCGAUUUAAGAUAGUGAAACUAUUUUUAAUCAUAUAAAAUUAUUUAUAUGUACAUUCGUUGUAUAUAUAUUUAAAAAAAGGUAGGAUUUUCACUAUAUAGAAAUUAGAGAUAAUAAAAAUAUUAAGAAUAUACGUUUCAGGCAGGGGAGGGGGAAGCUCCUCCCUAGCCUGAAAGGUAGCACUAAUAUUUUUUAGCUAUUAAGACAGGCUAUCAAGCUAGGCUCUAAUAGUUAUGUAUUAAUUAUCUAAAAAGCUCAACGGCUAAAUCUUGCCUUACUGUUUGAUUAUCAACAAAUCU